rnacentral:rRNA from 1 species
GAUGAACGCUAGCUACAGGCUUAACACAUGCAAGUCGAGGGGCAGCAGGAUCUAGCAAUAGAUUGCUGGCGACCGGCGCACGGGUGAGUAACACGUAUCCAACCUGCCGAUAACUCGGGGAUAGCCUUUCGAAAGAAAGAUUAAUACCCGAUGGUAUAAUUAGACCGCAUGGUCUUGUUAUUAAAGAAUUUCGGUUAUCGAUGGGGAUGCGUUCCAUUAGGCAGUUGGUGAGGUAACGGCUCACCAAACCUUCGAUGGAUAGGGGUUCUGAGAGGAAGGUCCCCCACAUUGGAACUGAGACACGGUCCAAACUCCUACGGGAGGCAGCAGUGAGGAAUAUUGGUCAAUGGGCGCAGGCCUGAACCAGCCAAGUAGCGUGAAGGAUGACUGCCCUAUGGGUUGUAAACCUCUUUUAUAUGGGAACAAAGUUUUCCACGUGUGGAAUUUUGUAUGUACCAUAUGAAUAAGGAUCGGCUAACUCCGUGCCAGCAGCCGCGGUAAUACGGAGGAUCCGAGCGUUAUCCGGAUUUAUUGGGUUUAAAGGGAGCGUAGGUGGACAGUUAAGUCAGUUGUGAAAGUUUGCGGCUCAACCGUAAAAUUGCAGUUGAUACUGGCUGUCUUGAGUACAGUAGAGGUGGGCGGAAUUCGUGGUGUAGCGGUGAAAUGCUUAGAUAUCACGAAGAACUCCGAUUGCGAAGGCAGCUCACUGGACUGCAACUGACACUGAUGCUCGAAAGUGUGGGUAUCAAACCAGG